rnacentral:rRNA from 1 species
GUGGGGAAUUUUGGACAAUGGGGGCAACCCUGAUCCAGCCAUGCCGCGUGAGUGAAGAAGGCCUUCGGGUUGUAAAGCUCUUUCGGUGGGAACGAAACGGUGGAGGUCAAUACCCUCCACUACUGACGGUACUCAUAGAAGAAGCACCGGCUAACUACGUGCCAGCAGCCGCGGUAAUACGUAGGGUGCGAGCGUUAAUCGGAAUUACUGGGCGUAAAGCGUGCGCAGGCGGUCUCGUAAGCUGGGUGUGAAAGCCCCGGGCUUAACCUGGGAAUGGCAUUCAGGACUGCGAGGCUCGAGUGUGGCAGAGGGAGGUGGAAUUCCACGUGUAGCAGUGAAAUGCGUAGAGAUGUGGAGGAACACCGAUGGCGAAGGCAGCCUCCUGGGCCAGCACUGACGCUCAUGCACGAAAGCGUGGGGAGCAAACAGGAUUAGAUACCCCAGUAGUCC